rnacentral:tRNA from 1 species
GUUAUUACUUUGGCAGAUUAGUGUGGUAAAUUUAGAAUUUACGUAUGUACGGAAGUACAGGUA